rfam:Sporomusa sp. An4 isolate Sporomusa ovata strain An4 genome assembly, contig: SPAN4DRAFT_scaffold-7
UAAUGCCUGAGGUGCUCGUUACACUCUUAUAUGUUCAACCUACUCAUUUACUUGGGGAGUUUGAUGUGAUGCCGCUGCCAUGCCUCCUUGGAGUGGAAGGCAAAAGCCUAACUAGAAAACGCCCACCUGCUUAGCGGCGGGUAUGAACAUACGAGAGCACGGUACCAUGGGCGUACA